rnacentral:lncRNA from 1 species
AGAGAGUUCUCUGAUACUACAACUUUUGUCAGUACGUGAAUGUCAAGCCACCACUGACUUUCGCAGCCACAGAAGCACAUGGCUACCUCAGUCAUAUCAAAAGAUGAAACAUGAAGGACAGUCUCCAUCUUUUUUGCUUCGUGAAUCCAGGAAUGGACACUCACUGUGUGAGAGGACAUAAGAUGUUGCUGCCCAGAGCCAGGGGAUAAGAAGUACAUUUUCCAUGGAAGGGAAGAGAGAAGCUCCAGAGACAAUGGACAUGAGAGAGACUUUCAAGACUCUGGAAGCAAAUGAAACUUUCAGGGUUUGGGAAGUUCACCACCAGACCAUUCCCCAUAGUUCUAAAACAAAAGCAAUUGCUUCUGUCUCUGUGAGCAGCUGUGUUGCCUGCCAAGUGUGUGAAGUGAUAUAGCGGCACAGUCUUACUGUGUAAUCACCAACUGAGUGAGAUUUGGUUGUUUUGGGGUCAUUCCUGCUCCUGGAACCUUUACCCACACUCCCUUAAGCAGCCCCAACAACCUCAACAGUUCACCAAGCUAGACUGCUUGGCUCUUCUAUAACUGUAUGAUCUGUUGUGACUAGACACUAUAGCAUUACCCCACUGAGUCACCCAACCUCGCUCAUAUGACAGAUCUGAACUACUGCUCACAAAUCCUCUUGCAAAAUGUCUACAUAAAGUGUUGUGCCUCUUUGCCUCUGUUAA